CUCUAUUAGAAAUUAAUUAAUAGUAAAAUCUGCUCAAUGAUAUUUAAAUAGCCGCAAUACGUGCUAAGGUAGUAUAAUAACUUGUCUUUUAAUUAAGGACUAGAACAAAAGAUUUAUCAUUUUGAAUUAUAUCUUAUAUAUAAAUAUUAAAAUUAUUCUAAAUAUUAAAAAAUAUUUAUAAAAAAAAAAGACGACAAGACCCUACUGAAUUUUACUUAUGUUUAACUGGGGUAGUUUAUUAAUAAUUAUUUUAAUUCUCAUUAAACUAAACUGAUCUAAUAUAAUUAAUACAAACAAAUUACCAUAGGGAUAACAGCGCAAUAAUAUUCUUAAGUUCUUAUUAAAAAUAACGAUUACGACCUCGAUGUUGAUUUAAUUAUCUACUUAACGCAACCGUUAAGUAAGUAAGUCUGUUCGACUUGUAAAAAUU
rnacentral:rRNA from 1 species